rnacentral:rRNA from 1 species
UACGAAGGGGGCUAGCGUUGUUCGGAAUUACUGGGCGUAAAGCGUGCGCAGACGGUUGCGUAAGUCAGAUGUGAAAGCCCCGGGCUCAACCUGGGAAUUGCAUUUGAGACUGCGUAGCUAGGGUGCGGAAGAGGGAAGCGGAAUUUCCGGUGUAGCGGUGAAAUGCGUAGAUAUCGGAAGGAACACCAGUGGCGAAAGCGGCUUCCUGGUCCAGCACCGACGUCAGGCACGAAAGCGUGGGGAGCAAACAGG